GAGGAGGACGCCGAAGGUGGGGCUAAUGACUGGGGUGAAGUCGUAACAAGGUAGCCGUACCGGAAGGUGCGGCUGGAUCACCUCCUAACAGGGAGACAACAAAAUGUUUAAUAUUAUUUUGUCACCUUAGGUCGAUCGGUAUCUCACGUUCUUAAUUAAUUAAGAAUUUCAUUUCCUAAGUUUUUCUAGGUCACACCCAUUAUUUUUCCUGGGCCAUUAGCUCAGGUGGUUAGAGCGCACCCCUGAUAAGGGUGAGGUCCCUGGUUCAAGUCCAGGAUGGCCCAUAUCUCUAUGUUGGGGGUAUAGCUCAGUUGGUAGAGCGCCUGCUUUGCAAGCAGGAUGUCAGCGGUUCGAGUCCGCUUACCUCCACUGAUUACCACCUCUUCCAUAAUCUGUAGAAAGGAAAUGUUUUGAGUUGCGAUCUAAUUCUGAACGAAUCUAGCUUCCUAAUGAAAGUAUUAAGAUGCUGGACUCAUUGAAUUAAUUUCAUUGUUUUCAGAGAACCUUGACAACUGCAUAGAUUAUUUUUUUAAAGACAAUAAGCAUCUUUAAUGAUGCAGAUUUAUUAUUUGUGCGAAUGCAUUAAUAACAAUUCUAUUAAGCUGAUGCUUCAAUUUUGAAGUUAUUGGUCAAGCUACAAAGGGCUCACGGAGGAUACCUAGGCACACAGAGGCGAUGA
rnacentral:misc_RNA from 1 species